rnacentral:rRNA from 1 species
UAUGUGAUCGUCUCUCGCAUAUCAAUAAGCGGAGGAAAAGAAACUAACAAGGAUUCCCCUAGUAACGGCGAGUGAAGCGGGAAGAGCUCAAAUUUGAAAUCUUAAAGGGUUUCCCUUUACGAAUUGUAGUUUAAAGAAGUGUUUUCUGUUGAGGUUUUGGUAAAAGUUCUUUGGAAUAGGACAUCAUAGAGGGUGAGAAUCCCGUAUUUGACCUUUACUUUCAACUUUGUGAUACACUUUCAAAGAGUCGGAUUGUUUGGGAAUGCAGUCCAAAAUGGGUGGUAAAUUUCAUCUAAAGCUAAAUAUUGGCGAGAGACCGAUAGCGAACAAGUACCGUGAGGGAAAGAUGAAAAGAACUUUGAAAAGAGAGUUAAACAGUACGUGAAAUUGUCAAAAGGGAAGCGUUUGACACCAGUGUUGUUUUUCUGAAAAUCAAUUAAAGAACUGUUUAUGCUAAGUUGUUUAGACUUUAUCAGCUAUCUGUUUAGUUUUAGGCUUUUCUUUAAUGCACUUUUCAGUUAACAAGUCAACAUCAAUUUCUUUUGCUGUAAAAAAGCUUGAGGAAGGUGGCUUGAGAUUCGUCUUAAGUGUUUAUAGCCUCUUGCCUAUGCAGUCGGAGAGAUUGAGGUCUGCAGCGUAGAUCCUUCGGGGCUAAAUGCAUUUGUGCUAAGUUAUAGCAUUUUAUAGACAACUUGUUGACUAUGAUUUGUCUUGUAGCUUACUCGCUUAUGUUAUUUUACCUACGCUUAGGAUGUUGAUCUACAGAGCGAGAGU